rnacentral:rRNA from 1 species
UACGGGGGGAGCAAGCGUUGUUCGGAUUUACUGGGCGUAAAGGGCGCGUAGGCGGCCACCGCAAGUCGACUGUGAAAUCUCCGGGCUUAACUCGGAAAGGUCAGCCGAUACUGCGGGGCUAGAGUGCAGAAGGGGCAACUGGAAUUCUCGGUGUAGCGGUGAAAUGCGUAGAUAUCGAGAGGAACACCUGCGGCGAAGGCGGGUUGCUGGGCUGACACUGGCGCUGAUUGUGCGAAAGCUAGGGGAGCGAACGGG